rnacentral:lncRNA from 1 species
UUCCAAUUGCCAUUCUUAAACUUGACCAUAUGCAAAUCCAAAAUCUGACAAUAGCAUGAACCCAAGUGAUGGACCAUCAAAAAUAUACUCGCAACCACCCAUCCAUUUUUAAUGGAGGGUCCACAUCCACCGUCAUGCACUCUAGGCUCUUCAAUAUUGCCGGUCCUUUCAAUCUAUUUUUCUUUUUGACCUCGUUGAUCGGCCGGCAUCAGGAAAUAAUUCUUUAUCAUUGGAUUUUUUUCCCCUCAUUUUCUUCGUUAUUUCUUAAUGCAAAGUAAUUUGGAUUGGGGUUUAUGAGGUCUUUAACUGAUCUCUUGUAAUUUAUCCAGUAGAUGUGGGAAUAAUUAGAUGAAGGAUGAAUACUGUAGGAUAUUGUUAGAAAGAUAUAUUUUUGGAUGCUCUGCGGUCGAUCUUUUGAAAUUUUUCGUCAUUUAGUGAAUAUAUUAAUCAGAUGCAACCAAUUUGGCUAUCUCUGAUGAUGGGCAGUGAACCAAGAGAUGAAAUAACUCGACUUAUUCUAAGGCCUUUAGUCAACUUAUUCUAGUCAACUAUGAGGCACCCAGAUGUACGCCCACUAAGAUGGCGCUGGCCUGUCCAUUUCGGGAUGUAUUGCAUGCUCCCUUACUCUUGUACUGGGUGACCAACGGGUAAUAAUUUAUGUCUUGUUUAAAAAGUUUUAAUAGUGAUAGCAAAAGAAAAAAAAUCCUAAUUGGAGUAUAGGACUCAAAUUUUGAGAUUAUUAUUACUGCCCAGCCAGUCCUAUUCUGGGUUCUACUUAGAAAGUGAACUCAAAUUUGGCUUAGAAAAGAUGGCUAAUCAAUGUCAGCGAGUGUUAUUCAAGUUAAAAGAGUUUUCUGACUAAUUUCUGCUGUCGAAGAUCUUACUCCGCAAUUAUGUCUAAAUAUAUUUUCUAAUUUAAGUACCCUAUUAGAAGGCGCAUGCUGGGUAUUUUCUCAGGCUGACCUAUGCAACUGGGAGUGAUUUAGGUCACGCACGGUGCAGCGGCUUGGCCGUCAUGCACGGUGCAGCGGCUUGGCCGUCAUGCACGGUGCAAGGAUAUCCACCCUGCAUCCAAGGACACUCCAGUACCUUUCCGAAAACGAGACCCUCCGUCCCGUUCGGCGACUUUCUCAGUCCGACGACUUGGUCCGUUU